UACGUAGGGUGCAAGCGUUAAUCGGAAUUACUGGGCGUAAAGCGUGCGCAGGCGGUGAUGUAAGACAGAUGUGAAAUCCCCGGCUCAACCUGGGAACUGCAUUUGUGACUGCAUCGCUAGAGUACGGCAGAGGGGGAUGGAAUUCCGCGUGUAGCAGUGAAAUGCGUAGAUAUGCGGAGGAACACCGAUGGCGAAGGCAAUCCCCUGGGCCUGUACUGACGCUCAUGCACGAAAGCGUGGGGAGCAAACAGG
rnacentral:rRNA from 1 species